rnacentral:rRNA from 1 species
GACGAACGCUGGCGGCGUGCUUAACACAUGCAAGUCGAACGCUGAAGCACCAGCUGGCUGGUGGGGAUGAGUGGCGAACGGGUGAGUAAUACGUGAGUAACCUGCCCUGGACGCGGGGAUAAGCCGGGGAAACUGUGUCUAAUACUGGAUGCUACAGGUCACCGCAGGGUGGUGUGUGGAAAGGGUUUACUGGUCUUGGAUGGGCUCACGGCCUAUCAGCUUGGUGGUGAGGGAAUGGCUCACCAAGGCGACGACGGGGAUCCGGCCUGAGAGGGUGACCGGCCACACUGGGACUGAGACACGGCCCCGACUCCUACGGGAGGCAGAAGUGGGGAAUCUUGCACAAUGGGCGACAGCCUGAUGCAGAGACGCCGCGUGAGGGAUGACGGCCUUCGGGUUGUAAAACUCUUUCAGCAGGGAAGAAGCCACAAGUGACGGUACCUGCAGAAGAAGCGCCGGCUAACUACGUG